GAUGAACGCUGGCGGCGUGCCUAAUACAUGCAAGUCGAACGAACAGACGAGGAGCUUGCUCCCCUGACGUUAGCGGCGGACGGGUGAGUAACACGUGGAUAACCUACCUAUAAUACUGGGAUAACUUCGGGAAACCGGAGCUAAUACCGGAUAAUAUAUUGAACCGCAUGGUUCAAUAGUGAAAGACGGCUUUGCUGUCACUUAUAGAUGGAUUCGCGCCGCAUUAGCUAGUUGGUAAGGUAACGGCUUACCAAGGCGACGAUGCGUAGCCGACCUGAGAGGAUGAUCAGCCACACUGGAACUGAGACACGGUCCAGACUCCUACGGGAGGCAGCAGUAGGGAAUCUUCCACAAUGGGCGAAAGCCUGACGGAGCAACGCCGCGUGAGUGAUGAAGGUCUUCGGAUCGUAAAACUCUGUUAUUAGGGAAGAACAAAUGUGUAAGUAACUAUGCACGUCUUGACGGUACCUAAUCAGAAAGCCACGGCUAACUACGUG
rnacentral:rRNA from 1 species